GGGGUUUGCCCCGGGGCAGCCGAGCGGGUGCGCAGCUGCGACCGCGCAGAACAAAGGCGGCCGUUCCUCGUCUCGCCACGGGUUACAGCACUGCCAGUUUCCUCCUGAUCUCGCCUGCAUGCUAGAUGUGCUGCCGACACAUAAAGAUGCCUCUAAGAGCAGCAGUAAGGCCUCCAAAAUUACUGAACAGAAUGGAUCUGCUUUAAGAGCAUGUGUUUCACAUAUGUCUCUGCAUUCAAAGACAUUCUGCGACCUCUCUCCUGCCAAAAAAUGUUUCUAAACCGCAGCUAUUUUUUGGAUGCAACGUGGUUAAGAGCACAAGGUGGCAUCACAUAUCCUCAGACAGGCAUUGAGGAACAGCAUCUCCAACCGAAAUUGUUUAAUGGAAGCAGGAUGCAACCACCUGAGCUGGAAUUUCUCUCAGACACUGUGUUUUUGGAAUCAGAUGUCCUGGAUUCAGGAUGUCCUGGAUUCUUCCCUUGCUGUCCUGUGUAACGAAAAUAACCGUGUUAGCUGACGGGCCCAGAAUCUUUUUAAUUGCUCUGCUGCUGCCUACCGUGGCCCUGUUCUGUGAAUAAUAAAAGGGAGUUCAUUCUCCAGGACAGUUGUUCUGAUGCUUUGUAACAGUACCACUAAACCGACUCAUUCAGACACAUGCCUUUGGCCUGUUGGUUGUGAACCAGCUGAAUACAUCCCCAGGGCCAUCUGUGAAAUGCUGCCCUGAUGGAGAGGCAAUGCUGUCUCUGAGCUGGAAGAAGCAAGCAGGAGAUGCACAAAGUUUGAUGAGCAAGUGUUUCUGAGAAGAUGAUUACUGCAAGAUGAAUGUGAUGUUUUCAUAUACAAGAAGGGAGCCAGAGAGGCAGAUAUCUUUGCACCACUCUCAACUGCAGAGGGUGUGGUGAGGUCGACUUCCCUGCCUCUGGUGUGGGUCCUCUCUUUCUCUCCGUCUCUCAGUCCUGCAAGGUUGGUUCCCACAGGAAGGUAGUUCUUCUUCUAAGACAUUAUCUCUAAAUGAGUGUGGAAGUCAUUACAAAAUUUCAUCGUCCUUGAAAAUAACCCCAUAGCCUUUUGCAUAUUGCUCUGUUCAAAUCCUGGCUCCUUAUAUUCCUGGUUUGUUUCCUGUGCUCUCCUAACAGAGGGGAAUACUUAGGCUGAUAGCCCAGCUUUCUCUGUCAUUACCACUCCGGGCAUCAUAGUCGCAUGGUGACCCACUUCUAGCACCUAAAACUUAAAAGACUAAAUGAUUCUCCUCUCCUCUGUCUGGCAGAAUUUCAGCAGCAGAUAUGGAGUCAUGCUAAUCUUUCUGUCAUGCUCGGUAUUUUCCUGCCAUGGGCUGGGCUCAUCACAUCAUUCUCGUUUUUCCACUUUACCCGAGAGGCUCC